AGGAGAGGCAAAGUGUCAGGCCAGUCUAUCAUAAAAGGAGGGCUGCAAAGAUUCAGCUGACCGGCCUGUGCUCUUUGGAUGGACAGGUCCACAGCUGCAUCUGCUUAUGGACAUCUGACUUCACCUUACCUGCCCUGUACCCUGCCUCCCUCCCGCUGCCCUUCCCAUGCUCCACCCCCAACAUGCUCAGGAAGCCAUUAGGAGGUGGCUCACAUGCCCUACCUUGAACCUUGGCCACUGUCGGGAUGUUGACCUGACCGUAUGGACCAGCGCCUUUCUGAUCGAGAUUAAAAAACAAACAAUCUGAGAGGAAGCAGUAGCAGCCAUGAGAAGGGAACCUGGAGUCCAGAACGACCUGGUUUUCAGUUCCACCUUGGGCACUAAUUUCCCGAUCCUGGGUAAAUCACCCAACCGCUCUGAACUUCAGUUUCUUCAUCUAUGAAAUCCGUAACAGGGAGUACCUGCCCGACGAGGCCGUCGUGGGCUCAACCGGGAGAAUCACGAACCUGAAAGUCUGGCUGUUGUCACUCUUGUCUGUUGUCAUUGCCCUUCUUUCCGGCUUCCUUGGCUUCACGUGUCCCUACUCAAGGUGAAGGUGAUCAAGCGGAACGUCCAUCCCUUCCCUCGGAGCGAAGGAGACACAGUUUUCUCUGGGGUGAGCUCUGGAGCCAGCCCUCACGUGGGGUUUGAAGCAAAGCCAGGCGGAGAGAGCUGGAGAAAGAAAAGGGCUCUUGUCUGAAAGCACUUCCCGUUUCCCCAGGCUGUCUGUGCCCUGGCUCCACCGUGCCAACGGGAGCUGGGUCGGGCAGCUGGGACUGAGGGCAAACAGAGGCAGAGAGAACGCCGCUUGAAUGCCGGGCUUGUGCCCGGGUGAGCCCAGCUGGAAGGGGCGGAGAAAGCAGAACCCCAGGGAGGCUCAGCAAGCUUGGCCUGGGGCCAUCUGAAAUUCACCGGGCAACAGAACCCCGCCAAAGCCCUCCCCCCCAUUUGAAGGCCAAGAAAAUGGUGGGACUUACCCAUGGCCCCACAGGACAUUAGUAACACAGCUGGGAGCAGAGCCCAGGCCUCCUGAACCCGGGUCUAGAGUGGUUUGGGUGCCCUUUCUCCCUCUUUGGAGCUCCUCCUAUCAAAGAUCAGUCAAAGCUUCACAGGCUACUCUACAGGGGUCAUCUGUCCACUCACCCCUGGCCUGGGCAAGGGGCUAACGCCCAUAUCCACAGCUGGCCUAGACAUAGGCAAAGUAGGGGGUUGCCCAUAGCCUCAGGUUUAAAUAGCCCAAAGAGGGGCCCAAUCUCCCCCUGCUUCCUGAAGUUCUGACUCCUCAGCCUAAUUUCCUCCAGAAGCCCCUGCCAUGUUCGCACAGAAGAACUUCAAAGGUUUGUGGCUGUGAUUGGAUAGGGUACUGGACGGGGGACCAGGACGGCCAGGGGUUCAAAUCCUGCAUUAGACAAGCCCUUUAAACUCUCUCAGCCUCAGUGUCCCCAUCUGUGAGACACGAAUAAUGAUAAUUGCUCCAUUUUGCGGCCUCCCAACUUUGCUCCUGAGGUUCUGCUUGAAACCUCCAUUUUGGGGAAGAGUCUGGAGCAGCCAUCCCUGACUCUUCAGAUUUGGUGACAUCCCCACCUCCUCAUUUAUGCCUCCUCCCUGCCCCCCAGCUCUGGGGCUCCUUUUACGGACUGGGGUCCCAUCUGGCUUCGACUGCUGGUGAAGCCGCAGCCCAGAAGGGAGAAUGACAUGACAUGAAAGUAGAGACCUAGGGGCAUCGAGGUUGCGCAGUGGAUAGGGCACUCACUGGUCCCAGAUUCAGGAAGACCUGAGUUCAAAUCUGGCCUCAGACACUUCACCCCAUUGCUUCGCAAAAAAAGAAAAAAAAAAGGUAGAGACCUGACCGGCUCUGCCCCUGCCCCCUGAGGACCGUGGGACAUUUCCCUCAGCUGGAGCUCAGACCUUCUCUCCGCAUUGUCUCCCCCAUUAGAGCUGAGCUCCUUGAGGGCAGGGGCUGGCCCCUGCUACACGCACAGGUGAGCACACGCUUUGCACAGACUAAGUGCAUCCUCAAGGGUCAUUCACUCACGCACUCAUUCAUUCAUUUGUUCACUCAUUCAUUCAUUCACUCAUUCAUUCAUGCCUUCAUUCCCUGCUCCCAGGUCUCUUUCCCACUGCAGCCCCCAUCCCCUCUAGCUCUGCGUCUGCCUCUGUUGGGCUCUGACAACCCUUCCACUGCCUCUCAAGCAGGACUCAGAAAUCAGGCAGCAGCCCCCUGGCCUCUGUGCUGAGGGGCCCCAGCCCCUGCACAGGAAGUGAGGCAACCCUCCCCUGCUUUCUGGGAGAUCUCAGCAGCCAAGGUACACAUUCUAGGAAUAAGGCAGGGGCUCCCCCGGGCCCUAGGAUGGGCUGUCCUGUUCUUUUCCUUCCCUUCUGUUCUCUGCAGGAGUCUGGAAUGGCCCCCUGUCUGCUCCCCAACCCCUGGGCCUGUUCCCUCGGCCCCUCCCCCAGAGCUCCCUUCCUAGGCAGUGCCUCUCCCUCCUGCCCCCCCCCCAUGCUCAGACCUCCUUCCUUUUCCAGCCUCCCCCUACCCUCACCCGCAAGAAGGAGGCCCAGAGUGUCCAGGGCUGAGGAGGGGGCAGGGGAGGAGCUGGAGAGUGAGAGGGGAGGCCCUCCUGCCUCCCCUCUGUCCCAUCUGAGUCUAGGAGCAUAAAUUCACCUGGGAAGGGAGCAGACCUCCUCUGCAUUUGACAGAUGUGGAAACCAAGACCCGGAGAGGGAAAAGGCUGUGCCCAGGCUCCGGCCCCGGGGUUAGAGGGGGCCAGUUGGCCCAUUUUACAGACUGCAUAGGAGGAAUUGGAACCUAGAUCCUUCAUUUCCAGCUCUAGUAUUUUUUCACUGUCCCUGGGUACAGCAGCUGGCGGCAUUAGGACCAAGCUGCCACUCAGUCAGUGAACAAGUGUGUAUUAAGCUCCUACUAUGUGCCUGCCACUUCCCCCAGCCCUUCUGCCCCAGGUGUGUAAGACAUUUGUGCAUGCGCAUGCACUCACGCAUGCACACACACAGAUGUUUGUGCCUUUCUCUUUCUAAAACUCUCCCAGCCCUCCCUGCCCUGCCGUCAUCCUGUGCCUAAGCAGCUUCCCUAGGAUUUAGGAUUGUGUCACUGGACAGAGAAGGCUGGGGAGACUCAGAGCAGGCUUGCGACCUUUGCCCCAAGGUCACUCUGAGAGUGAGCUGCCUGCAGCCCCCUUAGGAUGCUUCCCCAUUCCCUUUGCAGCCCUUCCCUAGCCAAGGUGAAUGCCCUGGCACACGCAUGCAGGAGGGCAUGCGCGUGCACACACACACACACACACACACACACACACACACACACACACACACACAUAUAUAUAUACAUACAGAGUUGGGAGGUCACCGGAGGGACUGAGGGACAGUGGCCUCAGACCUUGCCCGUCCUCCUGGCAGCAGAUUGCCCUUCUCCAAAGGAGAGGCUGGGAGGUGCUCACCAUCUCCUGGAGAUAAUUGGUAAAAUCCAGCCCAGCCCCAACUGUCUCUGGAUUCAAGGGCUGAGGCGUCUGCAGGGAGGUAGAGUCAGUACAGGACAUAGAGGCCCCCGGGAAGAAAGCACAGCCUCUUCUGGUCACCUGUAACAAAUGUGUGCCUCUGUGUGUGUGUGUGCCUCUGUGUGUGUGUGUGUGUGUGUGUGUGUGUGUGUGUGUGUGUGUGUGUGUAUGUCUGUUUGUCAGGCAGAGAGUAGGAAAAGGGGAGACUAAGAAGAAACCAAGGCUGCCACGAGUGCUACAGAAGUAUCUCCGCGGGCAGAAGGCCACAGAGCUGGUUACCUGCAGACAACCAGCAAGCGUGUCUUAAGCGUCCAAGGCCCCAAAAUCGUGAAUUUAAUGUGGGAAGGGACUUCAGAGGCCAUCAUUUUACAGUGAGGACACUGAGGUUCAGGAAGGUGGAGGGGCUGACCGCCCGGCAUUGUGCCAGGCGCUCCAAAGGCAAAGAUGAAGCCUCUCUGUCCUCAAGGAGUCAGGGCCAGGGAGGGAGGCAGGAAAACUGCACAUGCGUAGGUGGGCACGCAGUAUGAACAAGAAAGGGCAAUGGAAGAUCAUUUCAGGGAGGCAGGAGCGGCCCCAAAUUGUCCUUGGGCUCUUCCAUGAGCCCUGAUCUUCCCUGCCUGGCGCUCUUAUCUUUCCCUUCAAACCCUCUCUCUUCCCAGCAUUCCAAUUACUGCUCAGGGCACCACCCCCAUCCCGGUCCUACCGGCCCGACUUGUGCCUUUGCCCUUGGGCCUCUUCCCAAGUACAGUAAGAAGGACAUCUUCGGUGGAACAGCUGGACCAGGAGAGACAUUGAGACCUUACCUUCAUGGUGGGGGCACCAUUAAGAAAAAGAGCCCCCAGGCCUGUUGUGUGAGUUGUCCUGGUUACCUAUGUGCCUUGCCCCUGUGCCUUUCUACUACUGCAUGAGCCCAUUCUUCCCACUGAGGCUGUGCAUAUUGGUGGGAGACAGCACCCCAACUUGUACAAUGCCAUUUCAAUAAAUGCCUUUGCUUUGA